rnacentral:lncRNA from 1 species
UUUUAGAAGAUGAUGGCUCCUCGGGAGGAUGAGGAGCGACAAUUGGAGUGAUAUUUUUAGGUACGGCUAAAUCAAAUAAAUCAGCAUAGUGAUUAUAUAAUUUUUCUAUGUAAUCCUUUGCAUCAGCCGUAGCCGUCCACAAAUCAGGUUGUACUUGUUCAGAAUCAUGGUUAGUAUUUAUUUCUAAGUUAGUAUAAAUAAGAGUACUAAAGUGGCACAUAUUAUUAUAUUUCAUGCAUGGAUUUAGCAUAGCACCAACCAAGUAAAUAGGGGGAAUCGGAAAAAAAUAUUUUUUAAAUUUCGUAAACAUGGCGCCAACAACUUCUUUAUAACCUUCUUUAUUUUUAUAUUCUUUGAGCAAACCAGAAAUAUCGGCUAUAUAUGCCAAAAUAUUACAAACAGUAGGAUAAUAAGCACCGAAAUAUUCAACCGUAGCUACAUAAAAUUUUUCUAAAAACUUAACAAGAUCAUUAAUUACAACCUAAUUAGAA